rnacentral:lncRNA from 1 species
UAUCUAUAUACAUCUAGUAAUACUUAGAGCAACCACUAAGAAAAGCUACACAAAAUGAUACACAAAAAACUAAAUAUAAUCAAAAUAUAACUCUAAAACUGCUUAAGUAGCCCAUAGGUAGGCAGGAACAAAAUAAAACUAAGAAAUGCAAAACAGAAAACAAAAAAAUUAAAAAGGCAGAUGUAAAGCCUAAAAUAUCAACCACUUCAUGAAAUACAAAUGGGUCUAAAUAUAUCAAUUAAAAGACAGAUACUGGCAUAGUGGAUUACAAAGCACUACUCAACUAUAUGCUAUUUACAGAAAACUUGCCUUCAACAUAACACUGUAGAUGGGCUGAAAAUAAAAGGACGGAAACCAUAUAGCAGGCAAACAUUAAACAAAGCAGGAGAAGCUAUAUUAAGAUCAGAUAGAUUUCAAAGCUAAGAAAAUUACUAGAGACAGGAGGGAUAUUAUAUAGUAAAUCAACCAAGAAGACAUAGCAAUCCUAAAUGUUUAAUGUUCAAACAAUAGAGCACCAUAACACAUGAAGCAAAAAAUGAUAGACCUGAAAGGAAAAAUAAACAAAUGUGUGAUUGGUACUUUUCAAGUCUGAGAAACCAUCACAGCCAAGAGGAGCCUAAAGAGAUGUGACAACUAAAGGUCAUGAAUCCUGAAUGCAAUACUGAAACAGAAAAAGGACACUGGGCAAAAACUAAGGAAAUCUGAACAAGGUAUAGACUUGAGUUAAAGAUAAUGCAUCAAUAUUGGUUCAUUAGAUGGAACAGACAAAUCUGGGUGUGGGAUAGAUGGGAAUGCUCUGUACUAUAUUUGAAACUUUUCUGCAUAUCUAAGAGUUUUUUUUUUUUAAAUGGCAAAACAAAACAAAACAAAAAAACCCAAUACCCUUCUUUCGGAUGUCCAAUCCAGAAAUAAAGUGGACAGAGUAGUUAACUGGGCUACUUCUUCUCAUUCACUUCAUUUUUUGACUCAAUUUCAGAUGAAGCCCUGUGGAUUCUACCUCUGGAUCAUCUCAUCCAAAAUGCCACCCGUCAGUUUCCACUGGUCCUCCUUGGUUCAAGGCGUCCUCAUCUUCACCCUCCACUGAAGCAACAACUCCUCACGGAUCUUCCUGCUUCCAAUCUUGCCUUUCUCUUUUCUCUCUUACCCAAACCCAUAGGCAUGUCCUCUUCAGAUCAUGAAUAAUAUUCCUAAAACACAAACAGGAUCAGAUUCCCCCCUUGUAAAAUUCCUUCAGUGGAUGUCUUCUAACUUCAAGGGAAAGGCUAGGACCCUUGGAUCUUCCAAAUCCAGACCAGGCUGACUGCUCUAGCCUUCUUCCAACAUCCACGACACCCAUUUUGCACCCAAUGCUCUAGGCACUGGGAGCUACUCACAGUUCCCCUGACCUGACAAACUGUUCAGACAUCCACACAUUUCCUAGUGCUGUCUGCACCUGCAUAAAUUGCCCUCUGCUUUCCUCAUGUCCCCUCUACUGUUAAAACCUGCUCAUCUCUUAUUACUCAGCUCCACUGUUCUCUUCUCGCUCUACAGAAAAGGUUCCAGGCUCCAGUUAUGACUCUCCUCUAUGUCCCAAUCAGAACACAUUCGGUUCCCAUUAGAGUCUCUAGGACAAUCUAAUCUUGCAUUACCUUUUCCUCUAUAGGACCACAGCUUGUUGAAGAAAAUGAACAGUCUCCCUGGUACCAUUUGUUUUUGUAUCCCCAGCAUCUAUGGCAUUGAGUACAUAGAAUCCUUGGGAUGACCAGCAAUUGAGCUGUGGGCAGAACAAGAACAAUCAGCAAAGGAGACUGAGAAGCACCAGCCAGAGAAGCAGGAGGAGAACCGGUAGAGAGACAGCUACUGCAGCCACCAAAGGGAGAAAUGUAGGCAUCUGGUUGGGUUGGGCUAGAUUUUUUAGGUCUGCAUGAGGCCUCAGGAUGACCCUGUGAGAGCACCCCAAGUCACCCAGGAGAGCCAGCAGAGCAUCUGUGUAUGACAUAUGACCCCCCUACCACCACCCUUGACUGUUCAAACUGGAGAAGGGCUGAAAACACGUGGGCAGCCAAGCACCUUUUAUGGGUUUCUGGAAGGUCAUCUCAGCCACAGCAUCAAGUACACCACGUGAUGCUCACUCACAGUAUGAGCCCCCAUGAGGAAAGCAAUGACCCCAACACUGAGAGCAUGGUAGGGUCCCAUCUGCUCCCACAUGGCAGACAGGCCCCGAGGAAUGAGCAUGACUGGGUCUGCCAACCAGAUGCAGAUGCAGGGUGGUAUGGUUGAAUCAGGCAGAUGGCUGUAGGAUCAAUUCUCCAUCUCACCAUUUUUUUGUUGGGUAAUUCUGAUUAAGUUAGUGAACUUCCUUAGCUUGCUUUGUACCAUGGAGACAAAACAUCCACCUCACACAAUUGCUAGAGCAUGCAGGCGAGGAAGGACUUGACAUCUAUUGUAGCUGAUAAUAAAGACACACUAGUGCUCUCUUCUUGUGCAUGUUCUUAGUCUUACAGAUGUAUGCUGAUUUUGAAUAUAAAACCUAUAUAGUUGAUGUUUACUUUUUGGAUAUCAUAAUGACCCUAGAGCCCACAGGAUAUAUGAUAUGAACAUUCAUUCCUUCAGCUAAUAUUUAUUGAGCAUCUGUGCUAAGUACUGGGAAGGCAAUAGUGAUUAUCCAAAGGUCACAUUUUCCUGUGUGUUGAAGGUGCUUCAUUGAGGAAGACAAAUGUGUGAGCUUCUAGGCAGGAGAAGUGACAUUCACAAAGACACAUACUGUGUAUAAUUGGAGGGUUAGAAGAUGGCAGAGAUGAGAGAUAGCAGGGAAGUUGCACAAGGGCCGGGGAAUGGACCACAGAGAGUGUUGAAUGCCACCCUCAAGAUAGCAGCCCCUGUGGGCCAUGGGCAGGACAGUGACAACUGACUGCUUCCCUUCCCUCUCUUUUUUUCUUUUUUUGUCUACUUUUAGUGUUUAAAAUUUCAAUUAAUUAAUGAAUCAAAGUUGGCAACAAAAGAUUUUGCUACAUUUGCCUGUCCCGAUUCUUGACAAUUCUCUCUGAGGAGGAGCACUGGGAUACUCGUACUGUCUGGCAUCUAUUAGGUAUUGUUUAAUAUCUGUUCAAAUGAACAAAAUGUACUUGUAUUGAGUUGAACCAAAGUGAAGCCCUUUGGGACAACUUUGGAGCAAUAGUGGAUUAUAUUAUUCUGGAUGACUUAUGAAAAAUAUUUACCCUUAAUCAGUCUUAGAUGAACUGAAAAUUAUUCAUAUUCAGUUCAGUUAAUGGUGGUUAUUUAGCUAAGUCUUGAUUACGUAUAACGGACAGGAGCUAGUCAACAGAUAACGACGUGGCCCUGGGUUCCCUCUGCCCUGGCCUGAACAUCCUUUUUAUGAAAGGACACUUUCCUGUUUGUACAGCAGCCAAAGACUCACAUGUGAAUUCUUUAUACACACUGCAAGCAAUCCAAGCAUCUGACUUCCAUUCUUCACUCACAGCUGGGAGCAAGUGCGAGAAAUCAGUGGAAAGCUGGAGGUUUGUUAACAGGGGGUUUAUUUUGGCACUCAGUUGCAAUUAAAUCCGGUGGGUUAAAAGCUUCUGAAUGUAUUACCCUCUUUUAAACAAGCCACUUUUAGAGUGUUUCCACAAUGAACAAUAUUCAUCACCAAUGUUAUAUAUGGCUGACUUUCACUCUCAAAUAAUACCUUCUUUCCUUGGAAGGAAAAACAACUUUCCCAUCCUUAUAAUUGAAUCCAAACAUCUGUCACCCACAAAGACAUGGUUUUAGAGGUUGAUUAAUGGAUAUCUGGCUCACGGAGUACACAGAACCACACUCAUUUGCAACAAAUUUACACCAACACCCACACACGCUUAGGCACAUACACCAAUACGCAUGCCCCAAAUGCGUUCCUCCAAAAAACAUGUUUCCAUUAUCAUUUCUUUUAAUACAAUUAAGACAACAAUAAAGAAAGAGAUGUAGGCAGAAUAGUAAAAAAGCAAUGACUAGGAGUCCAGAGACCUCAGGUCUGAUCAUGACCUUUGACGAGUAACAUAAUCUCUCCAGCUCUCAAUUUCCACACAUGAAAAAUAUGAAUGAUGAAACCACCUCCAUCAUUUAACGCUUAUAACCCACCCACGACCUGACAUGUUCAUGCAUUUGUGCCUUCGUGUGAGAGUUCCUCUGCCAACUGUGUUCCACGAGACCUUCAUCAUCUUUCAGAACUCAACAGAUAUACCACCUCCCCAAAGAAUCCCUCCCUGGUUCCCCCAAGCAGAAUCAGCAGCUCAUUCUCAAUCAUUCCAGAAACCUUGCAUGCAAUCAGUUUUGUUGCAGCUUUCAUUGCAUAGUACAGCAACCACCUCACCUAAACUAUUAACCCACAGAGAACAGAGCAG